rnacentral:rRNA from 1 species
UACGUAGGGCGCAAGCGUUGUCCGGAAUUAUUGGGCGUAAAGAGCUCGUAGGCGGCUUGUCACGUCGGGUGUGAAAGCCCGGGGCUUAACCCCGGGUCUGCAUUCGAUACGGGCUGGCUAGAGUGUGGUAGGGGAGAUCGGAAUUCCUGGUGUAGCGGUGAAGUGCGCAGAUAUCAGGAGGAACACCGGUGGCGAAGGCGGGUCUCUGGGCCGAUACUGACGCUGAGGAGCGAAAGCGUGGGGAGCGAACAGG